GUUUAUUUGAGUUUUGCAUUCAAAAGAGCUUAAAAGGCCACGAUUUACGGUUGAACAAUAAAGGUAUUUACGAAAUUUGUUCAUGAAGCUCUAGAGAAAUUGACUGCAUGUGGUGUCUUUGUUGGAUUGCUGUCUGUUAGCAGCGUCUCUUUCACGAGCGUGUUCGUUUUCAUCGACGACAGAUAGAUAUUUUCUUCAUGAUUUUGUAGCUAAUCAUUUUCAGCCAGACGAGAAUUUUUGUGAAUGCUAUAUGGAGU